rnacentral:lncRNA from 1 species
AUAGGCGCCCACCUGGGCCCUCUUGAGGCUGAGGGACUCCUUGUCCUUGGCCGCCCGGUUUUCGGCGGCGCAGGCCUGCAGCUCCCGCAGCCGGGCCUGGACGUGCUCCCCCUGCGCCCGCAGGUCCUCGGCCAGCUGCGCCGCCUCCACCGCCUGCGGGGGGGGUCCAUGGGGAGGGUCACCGGGGUCCCGAGGGCCCCCAGGUCCCAUAGGGUCGGGUUCCCUUGUGAUGGGCCCCAUAGGGUCAGGUCCCCUUGUCCUGGGCACCUGGGUUCUAUAGGGUUGGGUCCCAUAGGGUCAGGUCCCCCUCUCCUGAGCACCUGGGUUCUAUAGGGUUGGGUCCCAUAGGGUCGGGUCCCCUUGUCCUGGGCACCUGGGUUCUAUAGGGUUGGGUCUCAUAGGGUUGGGUCCCAUAGGGUUGGGUCCCCUUGUGAUGGACACCCAGGUCCCAUAGGGUCGGGUCCCCUUGUCUUGGACCCUAUAGGAUUGGGUCCCCUUGUCCUGCACACCCAGGUCCCAUAGGGUUGGGUCCCAUAGGGCCGGGUCCCCUUGUGGUGGGCAACCAGGUCCCAUAGGGUCGGGUCCCAUAGGGUUGGGUCCCUUUGUCCUGGGCACCCAGGUCCCAUAGGGUUGGGUCCCCUUGUGGUGGGCACCCAGGUCCCAUAGGGGCGGAUCCCCUUGUCCCGGGUCCCAUAGGGUCAGGUCCCCUCGUCUUGCGCCCCAUAGGGUCGGGUCCCCUUGGCCUGGGCACCCUGGUCUCAUAGGGUUGGGUCCCCUUGUGCUGGGCCCCAUAGGGUUGGGUCCCCUCAUGAUGGGCACCCAGGUCCCAUAGGGUUGGGUCCCUUCAUGAUGGCCACCCAUGUCCCCUUGGUCCUAUAGGGUUGGGUCCCUUCAUGAUGGCCACUUGGGUCUCCACCGCCUUGGACACUUGGGUCUCCACCGCCUUGGACCCAUAGGUGGCCUCGACCCAAACAUCUGGGACCCCACAACCUCGGACACUUGGGUGUCCUCAUCCCAAACAUCUGGGUCUUCAACACCUUGGACACUUGGGUCUCCAUCACCUUCAACACUUGGGUGUCCUCAUCCCAAAUACCAGGUUCUCCACCACCUUAGACCCUUGGGUGUCCUCCACCUUGGGCACUUGGGUCUCCUCCACCUUGGACCCUUGGGUGUCCUCAGCCCUGAUAUUUGGGUCUCUACGACCUUGGACACUUGGGUGUCCUCAGCCCAAACAUCUCGGUCUCCACCCCCUUGAACACUUGGGUGUCCUCCACCUUGGACACCUGGAUCCUCACCCCUGAUAUUUGGGUCUCCACCACCUCAGACCCUUGGGGGUCCUCAUCCCAAGCAUUUGGGUCCCCACCACCUCAGACCCCUGGGUCUCCACCAUCUUCAGCGCUUGGGUGUCCUCAGCCCUGAUAUCUAGGUCUCCACCACCAUAGACCCUUGGGCGUCCUCCACCUCGGACCCUUGGGUGUCCUCAGCCCUGAUAUUUGGGUCUCUACGACCUUGGACCCUUGGGUGUCCUCAGCCCAAAAAUCUGAGACCCCACCACCUUAGACGUUUGGGUGUCCUCCACCUCGGACACUUGGGUCUCCUCAUCCCAAGCAUUUGGGUGUCCACCACCUUGGACCCUUGGGUGUCCUCAACCCAAGCAUCUGGGUCUCCACCACCAUGGGUAAUUGCAUGUCCUCCACCUAAGACUCUUGGGUGUCCUCCUCCCAGACAUCUGGGUCUCCACCACCUUGGACCCUUGGGUGUCCUCCACCUCGGACCCUUGGGUGUCCUCAGCCCUAACACCCGGGUCUCCACCACCUUGGACCCUUGGGCUUCCACCUUGGAGGCCCGGCUCCUCAACCCUAAUAUUUGGAUAUUUGGCUCUCCACCACCUCGGACCCUUGAGCUCCCAGAAGCUCCGGGUCCUCCUCCG